ACUUGUCCAUCUGAGUAUACAGUGCACUCGAAUUUACCCAAGAUCAGGUCUACAUUGAUUAACCUUACCACCCUUCCAAAAUACUGCACUAUAAAAUCUUCCCCCUCACUCUCCUCUUUUUCUCUCCCUUCUCUGUGUCCCCAACCACCACCUGUAAUGGCGGCGGCGGCACCAACAUCUGAAAUUGCGGACGAAGGACCGGUCCUCAAUCUAAUCAACAAGCGCCUCCGCGAAUUACUGAUACCGAUGCAUGAUUAACCAUUGGCAUUUUCAGUAUUGUUGGUCAAUUUACUGAAUUAAGUGUAAUGUUACUUUAAUUAUGCUACUCUUGUUGGCGAUAUCCUGUAAUUGAUUUAGAUGCUGGGUUGAGGGAAGAGAUGAAGAAAAGUAUGGCUUCGGAAUACUUUACAACUACUCCACAACCAGAAGUGAUUCCUCCAUGCUUCUGUGUUUCCUCUAGUCGCUGCAGAGGAGGAAAAGCAAACAUUUUGAAGAUGACAAUUUAUUUCACCAUCUCAAGACUAAACAUCCAGAUUGGUACAACAAAACGUCACAAACUUAAUACAGAUCACUUAGAGAAUCAGAUUAUAAAUACCUGUAUAGAGAUUCUUGAGGGAGUGAUUGAGAGCCUGCAGUUGAAGUGAUCCUUGGCGAUGCAGAUUUUGUCCAUAUAUAUGGAGCCUAUUUCUAACUAACUGCUUUUAUUCUCAUUUUGGGGCUUGUAAAUGUGUUUCUCAUGAAUUCAUUAAUACAUGUGCUUUACGGCUCAACAAUCCAAGAAACUUGAUAUUUUCAAGCUUUCAUUUAUUUUUCAA